GAUGAACGCUGGCGGCGUGCCUAAUACAUGCAAGUAGAACGCUGAAGGAAGGAGCUUGCUCUUUCCGGAUGAGUUGCGAACGGGUGAGUAACGCGUAGGUAACCUGCCUGGUAGCGGGGGAUAACUAUUGGAAACGAUAGCUAAUACCGCAUAACAGUAGAUGUUGCAUGAUAUCUACUUAAAAGGUGCAAUUGCACCACUACCAGAUGGACCUGCGUUGUAUUAGCUAGUUGGUGAGGUAACGGCUCACCAAGGCGACGAUACAUAGCCGACCUGAGAGGGUGAUCGGCCACACUGGGACUGAGACACGGCCCAGACUCCUACGGGAGGCAGCAGUAGGGAAUCUUAGGCAAUGGACGGAAGUCUGACCGAGCAACGCCGCGUGAGUGAAGAAGGUUUUCGGAUCGUAAAGCUCUGUUGUAAGAGAAGAACGAGUGUGAGAGUGGAAAGUUCACACUGUGACGGUAUCUUACCAGAAAGGGACGGCUAACUACGUG
rnacentral:rRNA from 1 species